GAGCGCAUCUGCCCCAGGUAGACGACCUUUGUGCUGCCCGCCGGAUCUGGGGAGAAGUUGGCGUGUGUAGAGGAUGAAGCCUGAGCCGAUGAUACCUGAGCGGGAGAGACUGAUUUCAGCCAGCCAAGAGGCCAGUUGGGACUGAGGAUAUGAUUCCUACUCUAGGGAGGACACAGCAACAAGGUUCCAUCUUACCAGAGAGCAGCCCUCACUAGGCUGAUGGACCUGCUGAUGUCUUGGCCUUGGACUUCCUACCUCCCAGAACUGUGAGAAAUAAAAUUCUAUUGUUUAUAACUUACCUAUUCCUUGUUACUUUGUGAUAAUUGUACAAAUAGACUAAGAUUGGUGCUGAGAGAUACAAUAAGUACAACAGGCACUCUGAAUAUAACUGUUUUGGGGUUCAAGGGAGGGGAUUCCCCAUCCCUCCAAUA